rnacentral:ncRNA from 1 species
CAGAGAUAAAAACACAGCGCAUAAUUUUUUAUGCAGAUCCGGUUGGUAGUCCGGACGUAUUUUUUAUUAAAAAUAUAAGUAACCUGCCUCCUUGGUUGUCCGUUCUUUGCGUA